rnacentral:tRNA from 63 species
GUCGGGAUAGCUCAGCUGGUAGAGCAGAGG